rnacentral:rRNA from 1 species
GCUUACGGCCACACCGCCUGGUUCACGCCCGAUCUCGUUUGAUCUCGGAAGCUAAGAUAGGUUGGGCCUGGUUAGUACUUGAUGGGAGACCGCCUGGGAAUACCAGCUGCUGUAAAAA